UACGUAGGGAGCGAGCGUUGUCCGGAUUUAUUGGGCGUAAAGAGCGCGUAGGCGGCUCGGUAAGCCGGAUGUGAAACCUCCAAGCUCAACUUGGAGCGGCCAUUCGGAACUGCUGUGGCUAGAGUCUGGUAGGGGAACACGGAAUUCCUGGUGUAGCGGUGAAAUGCUUAGAUAUCAGGAGGAACACCAGUGGCGAAGGCGGUGUUCUGGGCCAGUACUGACGCUGAGGCGCGAAAGCGUGGGGAGCGAACGAGGAU
rnacentral:rRNA from 1 species